CCUACGGGAGGCAGCAGUGAGGAAUAUUGGUCAAUGGCCGAGAGGCUGAACCAGCCAAGUCGCGUGAGGGAAGACGGCCCUACGGGUUGUAAACCUCUUUUGUCGGGGAGCAAAGCGAGUCACGUGUGACUCAUUGAGAGUACCCGAAGAAAAAGCAUCGGCUAACUCCGUGCCAGCAGCCGCGGUAAUACGGAGGAUGCGAGCGUUAUCCGGAUUUAUUGGGUUUAAAGGGUGCGCAGGCGGAGGUGCAAGUCAGCGGUCAAAUUGCGGGGCUCAACCCCGUACUGCCGUUGAAACUGCAUCCCUUGAGUGCGCGAGAAGUAUGCGGAAUGCGUGGUGUAGCGGUGAAAUGCUUAGAUAUCACACAGAACACCGAUUGCGAAGGCAGCUUUCCAAGCUAUUACUGACGCUGAGGCACGAAAGCGUGGGGAGCGAACAGGAUUAGAUACCCGAGUAGUC
rnacentral:rRNA from 1 species